GCAUGGUGAACAGCAAUCUGGGGCAGGGGAUUCCACACUGUGUAUACUGCUGCCUGAUGUAGUGAUGGCAGUUCAGGUCCUGUGCAACCAGCGCUGUAGUCUCCAUUAUCCCAGACAGUGGUAUACAGAUUUGUUCAUAAUUGUUUGUUUGUUUGUUUUUUUAAUAGUCCAGCCCUCCAAUGGUUUGAGGGACAGUGAACUGUCCUCCUCUGUAAAAAGUUUGGGGACCCCUGCCUUAGACAAUCACAUGACAGUGCCUAGGGGAUCUUGCCGAGUCUCCAUUGAGCACACUGGGCUGAAGGUCCUUACAAUCUGUUUUCUGCAUGGAGGGGAAAGGGAUCACAAAGGAGCACAAAGUUGAUUUUCACAGUUCCUAGGAGCACAAGGUCAAGGAGACCAACCAAUCCCAGUAGGAUUGAUGAGAUUCUGCACCAAGACAAGGGACUUUAA
rnacentral:lncRNA from 1 species